GGUGAUGUAGACUUUUUUCUUUAAAAAAAAAGAGAGAGCUUCUCUCCUCUCGGCCUCGCUCCCGACCCCGACCUCGACGCCCCUCCCGCACCGACGCGCCUCCGCCCCCGCCUUCCCCUCCUCUUCCUCCCUCUCCCACCCUCUUCCUCUCCCUCUCCCCGCCGUCGCGACGUGCUGGCUGGGUUCCACCGCAUCCGCGUGAGACACCCCCGGCCUGCGGCGCGGUGACGCGCCUAGCCCCAUAGGUGGUCCUCUCCGGGCAGGGCGCGGCGCGCGCGGCCCCCAUAGGCCGCCGCCGCCGUGCCUGCCCCUCAGAGUUAUCUCCUCCCGAAGAUCUCCAUGUCCCACGCUCCAAGAAACCCUAGCUUCAUCUGCUCGACGGCCGACUGCGUCGUGACCUUCCCCCGGCUAUGUCGCGAGCUUCCGCCGGCGGCGCGUGGACUCUUUGUCGGUUGCAGCGGCGGCACCUCAGCUCGGCGUCCGGAUCUGGUAUAGUCUUAUUGUUUUUAUAACAUGAUUUCUAGCGGCGGAAUGUCCAUGGAUCACUCAUGUUAGCUUAAUGCCCUAUGUGUCGUAUUAUCUUCCAAACAUGGCUGUAGAUACAAAAUAGUGCUCAAUAAUAUAUUGGGUCUCAUUACAUGAUUUCUAUCCCAUUUAACUUUGCGAAGCCUGUGAAACAUGGUUCUAAACUUGAUGUUAACUUUGUGCUUGUUGUCUUUAAUUUACUCCAAAUUUUUAUUGUGAUAUUUCUUAAUGCUUCUUAUUCUGGCAAGUGAGCCCUUCUUUGGUAAUAAUUAAACUACCUUUAGUUUCAUAAAUUCAUUCAUGUCUCAUUUUCUUAACCAACUGUGACUUGAAAAUGUAAAUUGAUUCUUGGGCUUCGCUCCGCUAACUAACAAACGGACCAAGUUAUUUAAGUCGUCUUUAGCUAUUUACUUUUUUUUGUAAUUGUGGACGCCUAUUGCAAUGCUCAUGGAUAUGAACAGGGUUCUCUUUCAUCCAGCUUGGGGUAGCAUAUCAAAUUUAAUCACACUGUGCAUCACAUUGCAUGGAAAAAAACUUCUUGCCACCAGAAAUAAUAUUUGGUCCUACACUACUUAAUAAUUUUUUCCCAGUAAGUAUAUUCCCCCAACAUAUCAGAACUUGGAAGGAAAUGCUCCAAUGGACCUAUCCGACGCAGUUCUUAUAUCUGAAUGCAACCCAAAGGUAUUUUUCCCUUUGCAAUUCUGAUCGUAGCAGAAGUAGUUCUGUUAAAACUUAGAGGCAGGAUUGCCUCAUAUCAUAAUUGAAUAUGCCUUAGUUAACUACUGCCAUAUCUGAAAAACAAGUUGUUGGCGUAAUCGGCAAUAGUUUCCUUGUAUUACAUAUAUACAAAUAAGAGACGUUUCUUACCUGCCAUUUCUGCUUCAUAUAUGCAUGUACUGUUAUAGCUGGAAUAUUUGAACCAUGUUUGGUGGACCAAAGUAAAUUUAUAUUUAAUUUGUGCACUAUGACCUGGAAUGUGAUGUGACAGAGCUAAAUCAAUUUUCACAUUUUAUAGUUUGUACAAAUACUGAUUUCAUAUGAUAUAUGUGGUUUCAUAUAUGCCUUCCAUCUGUUUUGUACAUUAAUUGGCUGGUAUACUAACUACUGCAUUCUUCAAGUUAAAUGUAAGCUAUGUAAUAGUACAUCGCUUAGAAGACAGCAAAAUGCAGUUCUUUAUCUGUUCCUAGAUUUCAGUUUUUAUAGCAUAAAAAAAGCUAUGAGUUCUGAACGAACCAGGCCUGAAUAGUUUUGUUGUGUUUUGUGGAUGGGUGGGGGGUUUAGGCACCAAAGAAGGAACUUUAAUACAUUUAUCACAUCUACCUAAUAAUGUUUUGCUUCUUUCUUGAGAAGAUUCUAGGUUUUCUCUACUUAUUAAUUUUUACCUUCUACGUCACACAGCUUGUCUCUUUGCAGCUUGUUAUGGAAUUGGGUCACUUCUAGAUCGGAAUCUAAUUUUUCUGGAGGCCUCAACUACAUGCUCGGCCUGCGGCUAUCUCACCAGGUAGGCUGCAGGUGCUUUUCUGGGCAUUACAUUUCUGGGUCACAACACUUCUAUUUUUCUUUGCAUUUAGAUAUCUCUUUCUUUUGCAUGAUAGGAUGCAAACGUAGAUAAAAUAAUAGCUAGCAAAAGGUCAAAGUGCAUGCAGCUGGUCAUCGAUAUGGAGUUAUAGGCCUUUUUAUUUUCACUUUCAGUUCUCAAUCAUGGAGAUGCAACUUCCUUUCAGUUAUCAUCAUUCUAUCCUGACCAUGUGUUUUCCACCUUCACAGUGUGGUCUUUCUUUAUGGUUAAAAAAACCCCUUUUGUUUAUACAAUUACCAUGCCAGUAAGCUAGAAAGUUUUGCCUCCCAUUUUGUUACUCCAAUGUAGAUUCUGAUGGCCAUGCUUAUACAUAGUUGCAUUUGUUCUGAUGUAGUACAUGGUUGCUGUCUUUUGAGAAAAAAAAGAAGGUUUAAUUUCUAGACCAUCUUCCCAUAGUUAUGGUGCUACAAUCUGUUUCUUUAGUGACAUACUUUUAAGAUUAAUACUUGGAGUACAAUAUAGCCACGUAUCUAGGUAUACUCUGAAUUAUGUUACCUCUAGAAUAAAAAAAACAUAGGUGCUAAAUACAUUUACAGUGGAUUUUGUUGCUCCAAUGUACGAUUUCGAUGGCCAUGUUUAUAAGUAGUUACAUUUGUUCUGAUGCAGAUGGUUGCCGUCUUUUUGAAAUAAAAAAGGUAGAUUUAAUUAGGGCUAUCUUCCCAUAAAUAUGGAGUUAGAGCCUAUUUCUUUUAGUGACACUUUCUACAUUAAUACUUGGAGUGCAAGAAAGCCACGUAUCUAGGUAUACUCUGAAUUAUGCUACCUCUAGAAUAAAAAAUUUUGGGUCUUCUAUACAUUGAUUCCUGCUGCAGUCUUCACUUCGCCUAUUAACCCACUGAACCAUUGACCAAUCAUGUCAAAGCGUUCUCAACAGUUUAAUAGAGGUAAAAUAGUUUACUCAUUCCUUACACCGUAACGUGCUAAUGCUUUUCUGUUCACGCAAAUGUAUUACACAGCAAGUUUUGGGUUGCUCCGUUAUGAUCCCUGUUCAUCGUAGUUGCUACUUGCCUUUUUUUCAGGUACAAAGAUUUAUGUAAUUCCAACAAUGGGUACAUCCCUUGCUUUUGGCUUUCCGUGUCGUGAUAUUGCGGACAAUGGCUCCUUAAGAAACAUCUAACAUAUAUUUGUUGCUGCGUUAGGUGAAUCUGUGCAGGUUACAUACAUGGCUCCUCAAGAAACAUCUAACAUAUAUUUGUUAUCUCAAGUGCAGGGUGCAGUACUAAGAUGGCAGGCAAAGCAACUUCCCCAAUUCUCCAGGAUAUGCACAAAAGGUAGCCUCCCAAAGUCCCAGUUAGGUAGUUAGGCACAACACAAUACAUACCGCGCAUUUGGUUUAUAGAUUUUAUCGGACAUGCUUUGUUGGUAGUUACAUCAGAGUUUUCACUUUAUAAGACAUGUCCAAAUAUUAACUGAAAUUUAUAAGGUCGAGUUGUCCACAAAAUGGUCAAACCAUGUGGAUUUGUAAUUUCCGCUAUAUGAAUAUCACAUUCAAUUGAAUCUUGUUAUUCCAUAUAUGCACAAACUGCAAAGAUGUACCAGCACCGACAUUGCAUAUAACUGAUUAGGACUUUCUCCAUGUCUAGAACUUUCCAUAUCAUUGCAGACGCGCGUGAUGGUGCGCGCUCUGCACUAGUGCACUAUAAAGCUUGCAUGUUGUUAGUCGUGUUGAAUAAGUGUUCUUUGUGAUGGUGUUGAAAUUUUUGUCUUCUGUUGCAAUGCACGGGCAUUUACCUAUCCAUAAAAAAAAUCCCAUAUUUAGCAUGCAUUCUUGGGUGUUACACAAAGAGUUGCACGGGACAAAAAUCUGAAAUCAAUAGACUGGAAGCACCCAACUCUGUUUAGUAGUCCUUCAGUUGUCAACAUUGUUCCUGCUGCUUUAAGAAGGAUACAGUGCUUAAUAAUAUAAUCUCUCACUUAAGGCUAUCAAUUUAUUCUACAUGCAACAAAAACCAUGAAACAAUUAAUAGAUUAUUAGGAUUUACUGUAUAUUCACACUUUUUCACAAUAACGACCCAAAACCAGGAAACUAAUAAUGAGCCGAAGUAUUACAUGCAUGCACCUGUUUAUGAAGUAUAUAAAAUAUAUGUUGUUUUAAAAUUGUAUGUGGAGGAAACGCCACACAUGCAAAUGCUAAAACCCAAAACAUUUCAAAGUCAAGAUAAUUUUUUUUGCGAACAAAAGUCAAGAUAAUUUGAUUGUACACAAACCAAAUUGUUACUUAUUUGUGGGGUGUUCAUAACAGUACGUAUCAGUAUGUAUACAUCAUAAACAAUAGUUAUACAUGAUUACAUGGCCCAUUGUAAUCUUGUAUAUAUGUGGCUACCCAAUUACAUUUGAUGACAGAAAAUACAAGUGAUUUCAUUGAUUCCACUAUAAUUUUUCUUUAAUAUGUGACAUAAUACUACAUAUCAUAUUUUCCUUUGCAUGGGCUCUCUUCAAUUACUCUUGGCAUGUACUUUGCGAUGAUACUCUCCAAGAGCCCAAAUAGGGAACAAAAUACGGUAGUUGGGGUAGUUGAAGUAAACAGAGGAGUUGGUGUUGCCAACAUGUUCCUAUAAAAAAUGGUCAGUGAUUGUAGGUUAUGGGAAAUGUAAUAGAGACACUUUUUUCCUACAAAGUAAUAAUUCUAGGGCGAGAUAUCUCCAAUAAGAUAUAAGCACAAAUGAAACUAUAUAAACAUGCAAUGUAAGAACUAACUAGCUAAACAUAAUAGUGUAUAUAUGACCUGUCUACUAUAUAUGCAACUAUCAAAACACUAGUAUAGAAAUAAUUUUUAGACACGGUCAAAAUCAAUGUUUAGGAACAGCUCUAAAAACCCACAUUAUGCCAUUGAUUGUAAAAAAUAGUUCAUUUCUAGGGGUGGAUCAAUGACCUACUCUCAAAAAACAUUUCUAAAAGUGGACAUGUUAUGUCAACGGGUACUAAAAAUCAAUCUAUAGAGGCAGAUGUGCUAUGCAAACUGUUCCUAAAAACACAUCUAUAGAGUUGGAUUGUGUUAAACAAUAGGCCAAAGGAUUGGGCCUAAUUUAACCCAAAAGACUAGCCUGAUAGGUGAGGAUUGCCCAGGCUCUCCGUCACCAUAUGAUCAGUGAGAUUUUUCAGAUUUUUUUUCUGACCAUGAGUCCCGACACCACUUGUUAGAGUACGCAGCGGAAUCCGGCCCAGCUCGCUAUACCCAGAGCUGUUAGCCCCUUAGGCCUAGGUCCACUGGAGCCCACAACAUAUCCAGGCAUUGGCCUAGUCUGAUAGGUGAGGGUUGUCUCAGCCUUAUAUGUUGUGGUCCCCUAAUAUCAAUUACCGAUGUAGCUAACAGCCUUAAAAAUUGAUCUUUUGACCAUUAAAUAAAAGCUCACUGGCGGCCGUGCUGCCGUGGCCGGCUAGUAGGCCAGCGUCGAGCCAUCAUAGGGCAGGCCACCAUGCACAUGUCACCACUGCCACCCCAUCACUACCAUUUUCGUCGCGGCUAUAUUGUCACUGUCGCGCCUUGCCUGCAAGCUCGGCGCCCAUAUCUACGAAAGUGGCCGCUACUGAGGCCGUUAUCAUGGAGCUAGGCCUCGCUGCAGGUGCCGACACCAUCGUCAGGAACGUCGUCAUGUGGGGCAUGUCCAACGGGGAGCGCAAGUGUGUCAGCAUCGGGGAGAGUGGAGACAUUGUUAGCGUUAGAGGAAGGGGCUCCUCGGAGUCAAACAUGCCUAAACAUGUGAGGACGGCUGGUGCUCACCGUGCUCCACUUUGUCGUUGUUGUUCAAGAGCAGGAGCUUGUUCAGCUCCCGCAGCAAGGAUCCAGAAGCAUCACUGACCAUGCUAACCUUAUUUUGCAGAGAUCUUGGAAAAGCAAGGAUCUACCACCAUUGAUCAAAGCCUUUGUAAGACAUAAUCUACUGCUGUCCAGAAAAGUCUGCAAGCAAUUGCAGGCAAAACUCCUUUGCUACUGCAGUGAAAUUUCCUAGCAGCUGUAGGGCAAAUUCCUAGCAAGGCUUAGCAGCCAAGUAGGACUGUAGAGUAGACUAGACUUGACUAGCAGUCAACCUUCUCUUGUGUAAUUUCUAAGAAAGCCACUAGGGCUGUUUCAUGUAGUCUCUAUCAGCUAUAAAUAGAAGGUAAAGGCACCAGCCUAAACCGGUUCAGUUGCCACAAACCAAAGAGCAGAGCUCUGGCCAGCACUGGUGCUUGUGCUAUGUGUGUAUGCUUGAGCUCAACCCCUUCUUCUACCUCUAGCCAUAGUGAGUGAGUGUGUGGGUGUGCUGGUAAGCUUACUGCUUACCUGUGCAGGAAUCCCAGGGACUAACAAGUGGUAUCGGAGCCGUAUAGCUGCGUCGCCAGACUAACCGCCGGCGAUGGCACCUGGCUUAGAGACUGCUGACAGCAGCAGUGCUGCUGGGGCUGCCCAGCCACGACAGGAGGUCGUGGUACGCACCGUGCGGGAGGUAAGCGGCACAAGUUGGCCGAUGCUGACUCGCACCAUCUAUGGCGAGUGGGCGGUGACCAUGAAGGUCAAGCUCAGAGCCCGACGGCUCUGGAAUGUCAUUGACAAGGGCACCGACAAUGAAGAAGACGACAUGUCAGCGAUGGAGGCUAUCCUCGCUGCUGUGCCGACGGAGUACAGGGAGCCGUUGGGGGCGAAGAAGACUGCUAAGGAGGCGUGGGAGGCCAUUGCUGCGAUGCGCGUCGGCUCUGAUCGCGCAAAGAAGGCAACGGCCCAGCUGCUGAAGCAGGAGUACGCCAACCUCAAGUUCAAGGAUGGAGAGUCGGUGGAGGAGUUCUCCCUCCGCCUGUCGUCGCUCAUCAGCAAGCUGGGGAGCUACGGCGUCACCAUCAACGAAGAAGAGGCAGUCUCCAAGUACCUCCACUCCGUGCCACCGAAGUACAUCCAAAUUGCUCUCUCCAUAGAGACAAUGUUGGACCUGUCCAUCCUCACUAUUGAGGAUGUGACGGGCCGUCUACGGGCGGUGGACGAGCGCAUGGAGCAGGCCACAGCAACGACGGACAGCGGCAAGCUGCUGCUGACAGAGGAGGAGUGGGCUGCCCGGAUGAAGGAGAAGAAGUCCGGGGAAGCCUCCUCCAGCCGCGGUGGCGAUGGCAAGCGCCGUGGCAAGGCUUCUUCGGAGAAGAAGAAGAAGAAGAUCGACCCCAACGCUUGCAGGCGCUGCGGGAAGACAGGCCAUUGGGCAAAGGAGUGCCCAAAUCGCAAGCAGGAGAAGAAGGCCGAAGCUCAUUUGGCGCAGGCUGAUGAUGAUGAUGAGGCUACUCUCAUGAUGGCGACGUUCUGUGCACUGCACGACGUUGAGGCCAAGGAGAAGGGAGAGGUGAUGGCGGUACAGGAGCACGGGAAGGCUCUGAAGGCCGUCAACCUCGACGAGCCGCGUGCCCAAGUCCACCUCGGACGUGUGGGCAGCGAGCAGGAGCAGCAGUGGUACCUGGACUCCGGCGCCAGCAACCACAUGACAGGUUCCAAGGAGGGCUUCUCCGAGCUUGACGGGAACAUGACCGGCACGGUGAAGUUUGGUUACGGCUCAAGGGUGGCGAUCCAAGGGCGUGGCACCAUCAUCUUCAGGUGCCAGAACGGCGAGCACCGCGCACUGACGGAUGUGUAUUACAUCCCGCAGCUGCGUUCAAGCAUCAUCAGCAUUGGCCAGCUAGAUGAGCGCGGCAGCGAGGUGCUGAUCAAGGACGGCGUCCUCAAGAUCAGGGACCGGGAGCAGCGACUUCUUGCCAAGGUGAAGAGGUCCCAGAACCGACUGUACCUUCUCAACUUGAAGGUGGAGGAGCCCAUCUGCCUUGCUGCACAGCGCAUGGAGGAGCCAUGGCUGUGGCACGCCCGCUAUGGCCAUCUCAGCUUCGACGCCCUCGGCAAGCUGGAGAAGAUGGUCCGGGGGCUGCCUCACAUUGAGCACGCAGGUGAGCUGUGUGACAGCUGCCUGGCCGGGAAGCAAAGGAGGCUGCCGUUCCCGAAGAUGGCGAAGUAUCGCGCGCCUGAGGCCCUGGAGCUGGUCCACGGUGACCUCUGUGGGCCAAUCACGCCGGCGACACAUUGAGGCCGCAAGUAUUUCAUCUUGCUGGUAGAUGACUGCAGCCGGUUCAUGUGGCUGCAGCUUUUGACCAGCAAGAGCGAAGCGGCGGAAGCAAUCAAGAAGUUCAAGGCACGCGCGGAGGCGGAGAGCAGCAAGAAGUUGCGCGUGCUGCGGACUGAUCGUGGAGGUGAAUUCACUUCUAUGGAGUUCGCUGCGUACUGUGCGGAGGAAGGUGUGGUGCGCCACCACACCGCACCGUACACACCACAGCAGAAUGGCGUGGUGGAGAGGCGCAACUAGACCGUGGUCGGCAUGGCGAGGUCGAUGUUGAAGGCCAAGAAGAUGCCGGCGGAGUUCUGGGGCGAGGCGGUGACCACAGCGGUGUUCAUCCUCAACCGUGCGCCCACCAAGGCCUUGAAAGGCAAGACGCCGUUCGAAGCUUGGCAUGGACGCAAGCCUAAUGUCUCCUUCCUCAGGACAUUUGGUUGCAUUGGCCAUGUCAAGAACACAAAGCCCCACCUCGGCAAGCUGGAAGACAGAAGCACGCCCAUGGUGCUGUUGGGCUACGAGGAGGGCAGCAAGGCCUAUCGGCUCUAUGAUCCCAAGAGAGGCAAGGUGGUGAUCUCUAGGGAUGUGGUGUUCGAUGAGAUGGCUGCUUGGGAUUGGGUGCAGCAAGGCGCCGGCGAAGCUGGUGGCGUCAGCAGCACCUUCACCAUCGAGCACUUGGUGAUGCAAGGAGGAGGUGUCGCUGGAGCGCAGACUGCUGCUGCUACUGUUGGAGAGCAGGCUGCUGCAGAUGAUCUUGUGGAAGGUACUAAUCACCAUGUGGUAUUUAUGGGAAGCCAAAAAUGACAUAAGAUUUCAGAGAAAGGACUGGAGUCGAGUCCUUGGUAGGUACAUCAUGCGAUGGAGGCACACAUCACUACUCACCAGGUUUCGCUACAAACCCACUCUACCGAUAACAACUACAUACAUCAGGGUUCUCCUACCCCUGUCCAAGGUACACAUCCUUUCCCCUGCAGACCAAAUCGUCGCCUCACACACACCAACCAGCAACAACUUCAGCACACAGGCGAGUGCCCCAGGCAGUCUGCAAUGCAGGAACCAUGGCCACACCAACACAACAAAUGCAAUCAGAUGGGGAUCCAAUGGAAGACAGAUUCUUGGUCCGCACUCCAGGACUGCUACAGGGUGUCAAAUGCUACAUUGACGCCUCAACAUCACCUGACCAACAACCCUCUCUUCCUCUAAGACCUGUAGGAACUGGUCUGUUCAUCAUCAACACCCAAGUUCAACCAGCGCAGACAAUCUACAUUAAGGCGACAAUGACUACUACAACAUAAGUCCUGAUGGCUGAGGCGGCGGCAAUCGCGCUUGCUGCGAUUGUUACUAACUCUCUCGGUUUGCAGCAGGGUUACCUUCCUCACCGACAAUUAGCAGCUGGUGCACUUACUGAACGGCCAGGACCAAGCCAAUCCACCGGAGUGGAGGAUUAAAUACUUCACACAAACCUUUUCUAUCUUCACAGGUCAAAGAGAUAUGAGAAUUCUCAGAAUUUAGAGAGAUCACAAUCAGACUGCUCAUGUCUUAGCUAGGCAGGCUCUUUUAGAAUCUACGCCUUUGGGUUCAUCAGGUUUCUUAUGUACCUGCUCUAAUGCAGAGCAUAUUCAGUGCACUCUAGCUGAGGCACUACAAUCUGUAGCCUUGAACCAUCUAAGGUUCCUAACAGUUGCUUGCUGUUGAUAAUAAAUAUGUUUGUUGUCAAAAAAAGGGAAGAAGUUGGAGAGAGUCCAAGAGAUAGAAUAUACUAAUAAGAAGAUAAGGAUGCUCUGGCCGGGAAGAUAAAGAAGCAUGUUGGGUGGGUCCCAUGCACAUGGGUGUGAACCUAUGUGAAUGGUAUUCAAAUGAUGCGUUUAGUAAAAUUUUGAACAACGUGUGCGAACUAACUUUUUUCAUCCUCUUUAGAGCGGACCUGAUAUGACCACUACUAAAAAUCGAGUCUAUUUUUAGGAACGGGUGAAUUUGGAGAGCUGCAUGCCUCUAAAAAUUAUUAAAGACAGGUAUUUUAUUACUACUGUUCUUAAAAAUAUAUAUUUCUUUAUGGGUAGUUUUCUUAAUGCAACGGCUCCCUAGAAAUGGAUUUUUAGUAACAAUUUGCUAGCUAUAGUGCUCUUCAUCCUGGUAAGAGUCGGGUUUUCUAUGUCAAUCAUUUCUAUUAGAAAUUGGUGUUGACUGUAAAAAUGAUUUGUGUACUAGUGAAAAUGCCAUUACAUAGGAAUGUGAUAGUAAGACAAUUGAAUAAUGAGCAUGAAAACAUAGAGUUCUCCCAAAAUCAAGAGGGCCACAUAGUUGGGCUCAGACAUACAAAUAGGUAGCUCAUACCUCCAACGAUCAUAAAUAUAAGUCCAUCUAGGUUUGUGCUAAGUCAAAAUUAUACUACUAUGUCUACAAAAAUAAAUAACAUUGAAUCAAAAGCAUUAUACAUUGUGAAACUACAUGAUUUUAGCAGCGCAAUAUUUCUGCAAUCGUAAUCCGUACAAACUUUUAAUGCAUUGCUGGUCAGUAAGAAAACUUUGAGUUUAGGAAAAACUAAAACAGACUUAUAUCUACGAUGAGAGAAAGUACAUUUUUUUGCAUCAUAACGAUGUUUGGAAAACUCACUUGUUGAGGAUAGUCUCCUGUCUCCAGUUGCAUAUUAAUCAAUACUUUUGCUGCUCGAUGUAAGGGUGUUGGGUCCCGGUCCAUCUAAUUGUUACAAAUUAGAAUAGAAAGGUAGAUGCAAUCAACAUGUACUUAUAAGUAAUGGAAAAAGUCUACAUAACCCCCAAACUAUCUAGCGUGGAAUACUUCACCCCCCAAACUAUAAAACCGGAUAUUCUACCCCCUGAACUUUCAAAACCGGUCAAAUAACCCCCUCGAGUGGUUUUAGAGGGUGGUUUUGUCUUUUUCUUUUUUAUUUAUUUCCACUGAAUCUUUGAAAAAUCAUAAUAAAUCACAGAAAAAUCAGAAAAUAAAAAAUUCAAUUUUGUUGGACUCCUGAUGAGUAGAUCUACAUAGUUAAUAUAUAAUAUGAUAUACUUUAGAAUAAAGUUUUUCCUGUAGCUUUAAAUCUAUGUUUUUCUAUAAUUAAUUAGAAUAAUUCAUAUAUGUAGUUCCUAUGGUCCAAUUGUGGUAAAAUUUUUAUGGUAAGCUCAUUAUUGUAUGCUUGAACUAUGGUAAAGAUUUCAUACUCAUUGGAUCACAUAUAACUUAGUUAUAGAUAAAGCAUAGAUUUAACAAGAAUAAAGCUAAAUAAAUCUAUAACUAAAUUAUACUUGAUCCAAUGGAUAUGAAACUUUUACCGUAGUUCAAGCAUACAAUAAUGAGCCCACCAUAAAAAAUUUACCACAAUUGAACCAUAGGAACUACAUAUAUGAAUUAUUCUUUUUAAUUAUAGAAAAACAUAGAUUUAAAUCUACAACAAAAACUUUGUACUAAAGUAUACCAUAUUAUAUAUUCAUUGUGUAGAUCUACUCAUCAAAAGUCCAACAAAAUUGAAUUUUUCAUUUUAUGAUUUUUCUGUGAUUUAUUAUGAUUUUUCAAAGAUUCAGCGGAAAUAAAUAAAAAAGAAAAAGACAAAACCACCCUCUAAAACCACUUUAGGGGGGUUAUUUGACCGGUUUUGAAAGUUCAGGGGUAGAAUAUCCGGUUUUAUACUUUGGGGGAUGAAGUAUUCUACCUUAGAUAGUUUGGGGGGUUAUGUAGACAUUUUUCUAUAAGUAAUUAAUGGUACUGCAACUAGUAGUCAAAAGUGAUGCUUUGGAUACCAAAAUGAAAUAAACAACAAACAUAUUUUGGUUUGCUGAAUCUAGUAAACCAAUAUCAUUAUGAAAAUAUUUUUGAGGAAUGAACCUAAAACAUCAAGGUAUUUGCAUAUUCAUAAAUGUUGUGAUGAUUUAUUACAUAUAAAUACAAUGCCUUGUUUUUAUAGUAGGGGCGGAGUAGUCCUAUGCAUAAAUCAAAGUUGUCAUAUCAAGAAAUAAAACCUGUCCAGCAUAAAUCAAAGCUAGCAUCGCCCAAGCAGUUUGUACAGCAUGAGUGCUAAGACCCUCUACAUAGACCUGCACAUCAUCAAAACAAUUUUUUUCAUAGGAUUAGUAUCCGAUCACUACUAGCUAAGAAUAAGGAAAUUGAUUCAUAUUUUGAAAAAAAUCCAUGUAAAUAAGUUAACAAACUUUAUUAUUUGGAAAUGUUAGGUAACUUAGUUCAUUGCUUUUGAUAGUUGCAGUUAGAACUCUUUUAGGCUAAUCUGUGGCCGGCCUAGAAUAUUAUUCUAUGGCCACCUCCAGUUAUGAUAAUAUUUGUACUAAUAUUACGUUAAAGUGACCACAUAUUUACAAUACAUGUGUUACUAUAACUCAUAGUAAAUCACUUAGGAGGAGUUAUAGUAAUCUAGUGAAUUAAUGUAGUCCAUUAUGGUAACUCAAAAUGGCUAUAGAAUAACUUAUUGUGGCCGGCUUAUGUGUGUCUCUAUGUGUGCGUGUGCAUGUGUGUUAUAGAUUCUUUUGUCUGACAAGUAGAUCAUUUUUUUGUGCGCAAGGAAUUAGAGGACUAACACACGAGACAAAUAUAUAUUUAGGAUGCAUUUGGAUAGAAGAGACAUUUCAGUUUGUGGUGAGAAUCAGCUGGAUAUCACUUACAAACGGUCUUUUACAUAUGCGCGCGAAACAACAUAAGGCUGGUUUUGCAAAGAUUUUCAUCUGAUUGCUUCCUAAUUUUUGUUCUUCUUUAGUUAAUUUAGUUAAACUGGUUUGUAUUUAAGUUGUUCUCCGUCCACAAAAAUAAUAGAUUUUUUUGAACAUAUUUUUAUUGACAUGGUUUUUUUAAUUGGAAUCCAUUUUACCUUCCAAAGAUUCCGAUUCAUCAUCAGAAACAUGUCUUGAGAGAAUAUGGAUUUGAAAGGUUUAUGCAAGAAUUCAAAUUUUGCCAAACACACCCUUAUACUCGUUCAAGUAGAGAAUGCUUCUCUUGCUUCUUAUGCUCGAGUUUACAAGGGUGCUGAUGAGUUUGUCUUGGGUUCCUCCUAGCUAUGAGGUGUUGAUCUAUUGAAUGGGUUGCUCCUAUAUCUCCCCUUAUAUAGUCCGAGGGUAAGGGUACAAAGGGAACACUAAAUGAUGUAAAUCUACGGUUCCCUAGUUUGUUAAAGGGAAAUCCUAUCAUAUUGAGUGGACCAGUACAAAUUUCUUGGCUCCCAAGGCUAUCUAGUCAAUAUCUUGUCUUCUAAGUAUAGUCAACGCACCUCGUCUAGCUAGUUUGAGUCUCUUCCUCUGCAGGCUCAGCCCACCCAUUCCUAGUUGGACCUUUCCCGUGACAAUUUCUAAACAGAUCUAAUGACAAUUGAGUACUCAUUUUCUGUGAAGUUGUAGUAACCAAAUGAAUAUACGUCUAUGCAUAUUAAAACCAAAACUUUGUGAAUAGACAUCAUAUAUGUCAUUGCUCUUUUUUGAUAGGGGUGCUCUCUAUACAUGAGUUCAUGGCUGUUGUUAAGUAACUAAUGACAAGAUAUAUGUAAAAUAAAUGAAAUACUGUUCUUCACCUGUGUUUCACAGGAACGAUAGCUCUCUGCCCAGCCACCAGUUUUGAGUUGUAUUGAGAGCAAAAAAUUACAUGCUUUCCUAAUGCAAAUACUGUUCUCAUAAUUUCUCCCAGCAGCAACUAAGCCUUUUAUAGCAUAGAGGGUCCCAUAGACAAAACAUAUUCCCCAAGUGCCGUACCUUGCAGGUAAUUGCUUAUUUAGUUAUUAUUAGACAUAGAGCAAAAAAAUUAUAAUUUGUACAAAAUAAAAGAUGUUUUCAUACAAACCAGGAUCCAUCCUUGUUUUGAUUGCUCUCAAUAAAUAUGGCAGCUUUGUUAACAUUUUCUUUUAUUUCUUUACUUCGGUACUCUGAAUUAAAAUCCCCAAAUAAUAACAAAGCCUGCAACACUGAGGAUGUACAUUCAACCGUUCUGCCAAUGGAUGAAUUGGACUUAGUUUGCAAAACAAAUUGAAAUGGCAACAUGAGAUUCAGAUUUGGAAGAGUUGUCAUUGUUCAUACGGGUAAUCGGCGACAACAUUUCGAAAACUCUCCAAAGGAUUCAGUAUCUAGGAUGCCAAAUGAAACAAAAUGUCAGUCUACAUGGAGAGCUAUAAUAUCAGCAAUCAGCAUAUAUAAAGUACUCAUUCCUGUUUCCUAAAAAACAUACUUUUUGUUUGCUAUUUUCAAUCUCCUUGUUAGUGGAUAACAUCGUGAUAAUUUUGAAUAUUUAUUAACAAUGCUAGACGACGUGAUUUUAUUCAUAACUUGUGCUAUACAUGGACUCCAUAAAAUAAGGUGAUAGACUAACAAAACAUUUUUUUUCUAAGCAAGAAAAGUACAAAACCCAUUGACAUGGUAAAGUCGUGAUCCAUUAAUACACCUUAUAUGUUUCAACUUUUCAUGAUGUCCCAAUCAACUUCUGAAUUCACCUGUGACCUAUAUUCAUAUAACUUCUACAACUGUAUAAACCUAUAUAUGGGCAGCUGUAAAUCAUCACAAAUGGAGUAAUUCCACUGGUUUGUGUCACCAAGUUGUAAAUUCUAGUGGCAACCCACCGUCUUUCCUUAAAACAAGAAAUCUUAUGGCAUCUGAAUGUCCAGUGAAAUUUGAUCAUAUUGUGCCUCAAAGCAGUAAAAAUUAUCGAUGGAUUGGGUUCAUCCUGACAAAUUUUUCAUCUCAAAUAAACCAUAUUUCUUAUCGAGUGUUUUUAACAGUGAAGCUAUGUUACAGACAACCAUAAUCUUUGAUUUGGGAGUAGUAACUUUGAGUUUGCUAGUGGUGUGCAUUUGCAGUUUAUUACGCUUGAGUAGCUUAUAUAGUUUUUGAGCAAGUUCAUCGCCUAAGUUUGGAUCACUCCAAUAGUGGGACAUUUGUGCAAGGAUUUCGUUAAGAAUUAUGGCAUGCAUGAGCGAAGGAUAGCAUGGGAAAGAUUUUAGGGAGAAAUGUAUGCAAGCAUGUGUUGGAUGCAUGGAACAUUAAAAUGAGAUUUCAAGGCAAAGGAAGCUAGGUUAAACAUGCACACAUUAUUUCAUUAGUUGUUUAAGAUACAUGGUGGCAUGAAAAUGUGAGUGAUGUUAAUAAGGAAGAUUCUAGUAAUGUUGAAUCAUUUAAUGUGUUGUAUCAGGUGUGCAAUGAGCAGACCUCUAUCAAAAUGCAAUGAUAACUUUUACAAAUAAUAUUGUUUGGUAGCUUGGAUUAUCUAUCAGAUUCUCAUAAACUGCUUGAUCCGACCUACACGUUUGCUUACCAAGUUUUUUCACAUCAAAAUGUGCUUGGAUGAGCUCUAGAGAGAAAACAUUGUAUUGAUUUUCCUAACUGAUUGAGUCCAAUAUUGCAAAAUAACUAAGUAAUAUUUUUAUCUUGUUCCUGAAGGGGUUAUGGGCUAGUUUUUCUUUCUAAAACAAUAAGCAAAUCAAGUUGUUCAUAAACUCCCUGUUCUCACUUGGAGACAUUUUAGAAGAAUAUGAUAUGCUACUGAUUUUCAUUAUUGCACAUUGUAAACAUUUUCUUACAAAGUCCUGUUUAUGUUUUUUUUCAAGAGCAUGAAACAUUGCAAAACAUACUCACCUCUAGCCAAGAAUAAGUUCUUUGACAUUCAAAUGUAGAAACGGAACCAUCUUUGUUCUGUAGAUGAAAACAUAACCUUUUGUUAGUGAAACACUGCAUUAAAUAAAUAAAACUACUAAUGUAAUUGUAUCAAAUCCUAAAAUCUCAUCCACAAAGUAAGCUCAAUAAAUAAAUUGUGUUCAUAGAGAAGUCAGUCCAUCACAACUUUGACCAAUUAUAUAUAAAAAUUUAAUACUACUUAUGAUGCAUAAUGAGUACUAUAGAUGGAUAGAAAUAUAUUUUCACAAUAAACCUCUUUGGAGAUACAAAUCUUGAUAUUAUUUGCUAUAAAUUCAGUCGAAGUUACAAAAUUUUGGAUUAGUUCAAACCUAGGAUGACUUUUCUUUUUCAUUCAUGCUCUCACUCACAAAAUAAGUAUUGCAAAUCAAAUUAUAGGUAUGUACAUAUUCAAGGAAAGUACUGAUUUGUUGGAAACAGCAUUCUCAUGACUCUAACAAUAUGAUUGUGAUUUGUUAAAUAAACUCAAACAAAGUUGUGAUAGAGCAGAAAAUUUUUAUGCCCAUGAGAAUGGUAGAAAUUUUGUUUCAAAUGGGGAUAUGACUUAUGCCCAUCUAAUAGUUCACCUCUGGUAGACCAGAAAUCUUAUAUUUCAUAUUCUGUUGCUAACUUAUCCUUACAGUUAGCACGACAUAAAUAAUAUGAAUAGAAGAUUAGUUAUCCAUCAACAUUCAAAUCAUUAACAAAUAUCAAUUACCAAUAAAAAUAUCUUAAUGUUUUCACUUACCAUGGGGUUGAUGCAAGUCUUUUUUUGUAUGAGAUCUUGAUAAAUAAAUAUUUCAGUCCAAAAUAAGUGCUUUAUAGAAUCGUACCAUAAAUGAAAGAAGGCAAUCAACAGCAUUAAACAUCCAUCCAUCUCCGUCUGAAUUUUCAACAAGCUUGGGAUAUACCCUGGAGAGCAACAACAUUGCCUAUUUCAAGAAAAGAAACAAAUUUGUCAAGUCAUGUACAUACACGGUGGUGUAUAUAACUGUGAAUUUCCUUCUAUGUUUCAUUUCCUUGAUGUUUUUGCUUUAGUGUUCCCUCAAAGGAUAACCACAAAAACAAAAACACUAGAACAUGUAGAUCAUAAAAAGAUGAACUCGCGGCUACCAGAUCACCCAGUUUUAGAGACCAGUCCACCCAAAUUUCCUAUGGAACCAUUAAAAAUCUAUGAACACUUGGAUGGGUGGAACGCAUUGAGGCUAGCGCACACCAAGGGUUGCUCUAAAUAAAGUCGGUUGCUUUAAAGUUGGCAAUGCCACUUAGAACUUCUCAAGUCAUUGUCAAAGAGAGGCAGAGGAUAAAAAUUUAAAUUGAGACUAAGUUUUUCAAAUGGGAAAAUGUUGUACUCCUUCCGUCCAAAUCAUAAGUCGCUUUGACUUUUUGGAUACAUCCAUUUUGCUAUGCAUCUAGAUAUAACUAAAAAAGUCAAAGUAACUUAUAGUUUGGAGUAAUUGUGUCUUUGGUUAAUUGGUUGCCAUACAUAUUUAUAGGGUAGGGACUGGGGAGCUAUUUUAUUUUUAGCAACUCACAAGGGAAACAUGACCCCACCUUUUCCAUCAACUAAUGCUAAACAACAGAUACUGGUUGCUGGAGUUUUGCACUCAGGUUGGCAUGCCAAGCAAAGAUUGCAGAGAGAGAAACAACUAGAAACACAUAAGCUCUCCAAAGUAGAAACAACUCAAAGAUCUAAAAAAUGCGCAGUCGAGACUGGAAUAUGGCCUUGUUUAGUUCCCAAAAAAUUUUGCAAAAUUUUUCAGAUUUCCCGUCAUAUCGAAUCUUUAGACACAUGCAUGGAGUAUUAAAUAUAGACAAAAAUAAAAAAUAAUUGCAUGUACAUUUUGGUCGCAAUAGACGAGAUGAAUCUUUUGAGUCUAGUUAGUUCAUGAUUGGACAAUAUUUAUCAAAUAUAAACGAAAGUGGUACAGUGUCGAUUUCCUAAAAUUUUUUGAAACUAAACAAGGCCAUAUAUAUGGCCAUGCUGAGCCGUCUUUGGGCAAGAGAAGAAACAUAUUGGCCCACCCUCAUCGGACACGAGGCCAUCCCCUUGAGAACAACCAAAAAACAACAAAAUGAGCAACUAUUUAGUCGAAUAUGAUUGGAUCGCGUUAAGCAGCGACCUGAAACUUGGCUCCACGUUGUUCCUUCCUGCAUAGCGUGCUUUCUUCCUCUCCGACGUGCCCUUCCUCCCCCAGCCUCGCCUCCUUCCCCGACGCCCUGGCCAGCAGCUACAACCAUGUCACCGGGCGUGCCGCCCACCUCCUGCCCCAUGGCUAUGCCCCGCCCUCCUCUAACCUCACGGAAGCUUGUCAGGGUCGCCCUUAUCGUCACCCCCUCCCCCACCCUUACCUCCACCACCGGCGGCUGGCAGCAAGCACUAUGUAAAAAAUAAUUUGUAGCAACACCAUUUUUUUUAGGGACGAAUGCCGCCCCUACAAAUGAUUCUCAAAAGUCGUACCUACAAAUCGAUUUAUAGGGACGGUUGGUGUUUCUAAAUGCCCCUACAAAUGGUGUCUAUUUGUAGACGCGGCUCAAUAUCCAGCUGCCUCUACAAAUUGAUUUGUAGGGGCAGCUCUAUAUUGAGGUGUCCCUAUCGAAUAUUUAAAAUGAAGUAUUAAAAUUUAAUUUUUUUUCAAAACAACCUCGGAUGCAGAAAUGAUCAAAAUAAAAGUUGUAGAUCUUGAAAAGUUAUGAAUCUUUCUUGUGGAUAACUUUUCUAUUUGAAUUUAUUUGAUGCUUCAAAAUACUGUUUGAAAUUUAUUUUUAAAUUGUUGAUAAAGACUUAUUUCUCUUUUUAGUCUCUGGCUAAAACUUGUGACUAGUCUUUCUCCUUAGUACUAACUCCAAAUGUGAUAGUUUUUUCUGGCUUUUUUUCUAAAAUUAAGGUCUCUCAAGAUAUUGUGUUUGUUCUUACUGCUAUUCUUUUGGUCAUCUUUUCUUGUGGAAAUUUUAAAAUGUGAAUUUAAAAAACAACAUCUUCAAACAAUAUUUUGAAACAUCAAAUGAUUUCGGCUGAAGAAGUGAUGAACAUAAAAGUUAUAUAGCUCAUCAAAAUGUAUAAUUUUUAUUUUGGUCAUUUUUUUAUAUGACAAAGUGAAAGUAACAUUGUUCACAAAUCUUACAUAUUGCUCUUGUAGUUUACGAAACUACAUAAACUAUAAGAGAGAUAUAUAAGAUUUGUGAUCAUGUUAGAACCUCCAUGUAAGAUGAAUAUUUGACCAAAUAACCAAAAUAAACUUUGUAGAUCUUGAGAAGUUAUAGAAUUUUAUAGUUGGCAAAUUUUUUGUUUGAAUUCAUUUUGUCAAGGAAAACUAUGUUUGAAUUUAUCCAUUUUGAAUUUUGAAUUUUUGAAAUGACCUCGGACGGAGAAACAACCAAAAUAAAUUUUUUCAAUCUAAAGAAGUUAUGAAACUUUAUAGUUGCCAACUUUUUGAUUUGAAAUCAUCUUAUCAUGCAAAACUAUGUUUGAAUUUUAAAAUUUUAAAAUUUGAAUUUUUCAAGCAACCUUGGAUAGAAAAAUCACCAAAUGUAGAUCUCAAAAAGUUAUGGAAGUUGAUAACUUUUUGAUUUGAAAUCAUCUUGUCAUUUAAAACUACACUUGAAUUUCUCAAAUUUGAAAUUCAAAUUUUGUAAACAACCUUAGAUGGAGAAACUACCUAAAUGAAAGUUGUAGACCUCAAAAAUUUAUGAAACUAUGUAGUUGAUAACUUUUUUUAUUUUGAAUUUAUUUAGGAGCUCAAACAAUCAAUUUACACUAGGUUUAGUAUAAUAUGGGGAACCAAAAUAGCUUAUAAACACAAGUGAUCAAGGUUGUAGUGGUAGAGGAUGGUAUGCACAAGGAAGAAGUCAUGAAUUUGAAGAGUGGGGCCCUCUUCAGGAUAAAAAAGUGUUUUGCUAUAUUUUUGAAUUUAUUGGUGGCUGCAAAAAUGAUUUGUAGGAGGGUGGCUGGAUAUUGAGCCCGCCUCUAUAAAUCAAUUUGUAGGGUUGGUUGACCAGCCGCCCCUAUAAAUGGUGUAUUUGUAGAAACACUUUGGUAGCUAGGGAUGGCUGGCCAGACUACCCCUACAAAUACUCUUUAACUGCUCUUAAAAAUAGUUUUUUAGUACUGGAGCCGCCUCACUGUGCCACCCAUAACCUGCGCCGCCCCUCAAACCCGCCCACACUAACCACAGGAGCUCGCCAGCGAGCACUGCAGCGACUCCCACCACCAACCCCGCCCAAUCAAUUGCUCGCUUACCCAAACUCUCUUCUAAGGUCACCGGAGAUGGGAGCCCUAACCUCGCCGACGCUAGAACCCUAUCCACCGUCAGCUUCUUCUUCCUCUCUGGUAUUGGCGUGGGCGAGCUCCAGAUGGUCAAGUAUGUAGUAGAGGGAGAGGGAGACGUGGGUUCGCGCCGUUGCGCUCCAGCGCGACGGUCACGUGGUAACUUUUGCGAAUGUGGUUGAUGAUGACCGAUCACAUUAGUGUUGAGCAAUUGGCAGUCAUGUUGCCACUUGUUCAACGCCAUGUAGUGCCUAGGGAAGGCUGCAGAAAUUUAGCAAACACGCACCACCAAGCUACAUCGGACGAAGACAAAGCAAAGGUGGAGAUGACCCUGCCGCCCUAAUAGUUUUUAUACCUAUUAAUUUUCUAUAGACACUACAUAUAGAAAUCAUAGUCCCAAUAUAUUGUACUGAAAAGUUUUUUAUCCCAUCACAUAUAUUCUCUCCAUUCUCUAACAAUUACAUCCUUUGUCUUCAUUCUCAUUUAUACAUGGUUUCUAACUUAGACCUAGUUUGUACCGUUUUUACUCUCUCUCUCUUAAAUAGUUAAAUUGCCACAUCAACAAAACACUUACAUGACAGUACAAUUAAUGUCUAUAGAAACUAUGGUGGUUUCUGCAUUGAGAGUGCCCUUAGACUAUCUCCAACAAUCGUCACCCAAAAUGCAAGACUCAUUUGUCCUUUGGGUAGUGCUACAGAUAAAAGGUUCCAUAUCUAUUUUUAGUCUUGUCCAACAACAAAACUUAAAAGACAACACUCUCUGCAAAUAAGUCUCAAGAAGAGAGGAUAUCCAAAUUUGGGUUAUGCCUCUCCUAGUACCUAAAAUGGGUCUUCUGUAUGGAUACUCUAUUAGAGGCUAUAGAUAUUAUGUUGGAGACCCAUUUUAAAUUUAGGUUCCUAAAUGGGUCUCCUAUUGGAGACAGCCUUAGUACCAAAGAAGAAGGCAUGAACCACGUACCACUAGAGGAAUUGAACGCCGCGAGGUUGGGAGCCACCGCGACGACCAAAUCUCAUAGAUCCAAGCCCGGGUCGGCAACUUCCUAUUCCCUCUAUUCCAAUUAUAAGUCAUUCCAAGAAUCUUGAAGAGUCAAAACAUCUUAAAUUUGACCAAAAAUUUAUAUGAUAAGAUAAUAAGCCAACUAAGUAUCAUAAGAUUCUUCCUUAAUUAUAUUUUCAUAGUAUACCCAUUUUAUGUUACAAAUAUUAGUAUUCUUCUCUAUAAUUUUGAUCAAAUUUGAAAAUAUUUUGACUCUCCAAUAUUCUUUGAAUGACUUAUAAUUUGGAAUGGAGGGAGUAAUAACUCGUCUAUAUCUAUAUAUCAACACAAAAUACGAAACCAAGCUUCUUUGUGCUGACCUUAGGUUUUUUUUUUUUUUUGAGUGGAUGUGUGCUGACCUUAGUUGCUUCGGCACUAGUGUCUGAUGAAGCCCAGCCAUUGUCCACAGUCGAAAGUGGCCAUGAUCCUUUUGAUCUAUGCCGGAACCAAUCACUUGGGUUCCCCGGAGGGUUUGUAGUAACCUGUUUGUCAAAGAGAAGUAUAAUUAAAAAUCAACGAAGAAAAAAAAUAAAAUUUUGAAUCGAAUUAAUAGUUAUUUUUUAGGAUAAACCGAAGAUGUGGUAAGCAACAGACUUGUGCUCUCUUUAUGUAUCCCAUAGCCCUCUCAAUGGUUCGACCAUAUUCAUUAGCAGCGUCUGCAGAUAACAAGGCCUGGAUUAUAAGUGCUAACUCCCAGUUAUGGGUGCCAUUGUAUAUCUACAAUCAGAAUUGCACAUCAAAGUUUUAUUAGUUUACAGAGUUAGAUAAAAAAGAACUCCUGAAUACAAUUAAUACAGCAUCUACCGCUAUGAGGAACUAAUAAAUCUAGAGAAAAAAAGUAAGAAUUGAUUAAAAGAAAUCCAAAUAAAUUGUUUUUUCUUCCAUCGAAAACCUUUUACUCUUGAAAACUAUUGGUCCAUGUAAAAUGUUAUAUGCGCAAUAUAAUGGACUCUGUUGCAAAAAAAUUUAAUGUCAACACUACAAUGAGAGAAAGGAAAGGACAAACUAUUUGCAACAAUCCACCUCUCCACCUUUAAUAAGACUCGUUUUUCAUAAGAAUAAAGAAGUCUGAGUCAGUAAAUUUCUGGUUUUUGUGGUUGUCCUAAAAUCAAAAUAUGAAACAAUGCAUUAAUGUGAAAUGGAAAUUUAAUGAAUGUAUACUUUUUAUAAGGUUUUUGCUGUAGAGGACUAUACCAAAUUGUUAUUAUGAAAUAAUAAUUAAAGGAACAUAUUGAGGCUUGUCCUAUCAUAGAUGGGAUCUAAUUAAUUAGCUUAGAACAGUUAAUGAUGAGACGUCCAAUCACAUGUCAGUUAUUUAAUAUAUGAUUUAUCCGUUCUAAAUUAAAAGUAGAGAGAAAGGGGAUCUAGGGCAAAUGCAUGAAACUACAAGAAUAUAGUUGGAAUAAAUAUACAGUACUUUGGUUUUCAUUCCAUCUUCAGCAAUCCAUAAAUAAUCAUAUAUCCUUGGAAUAUGUCGCUUGAGCGCAUCUGAAUUUGGGUUUUCGACCCAACAACAAAUCAUGUUUAGUGCCUAGACAUAAAUGAAGUAGAAAGUUAGAUUUCAUCAGUUUUGGUACGGACAAAGCAAAAUACAGGGAUGAUAUGCCUUGAUGAUUGGGAGCGAGUGUCCGAUGACAAGUGGUGAGCCUUAGUGUCUUAUAGCAUCUCCACCAACUCCACAAUACAACUCCCCCAAUAAAAUAUUAUUUCGGUAGCCUAAUAUUAUUUUUUAGACUAUUGAGGGAGAUGCUACAAUAGAUCGCCAAUAAUCUCCCUCACUCUGUGGGACUCACAUAUCGCGGUUACAAUUUAUUAGUUUAUUUUUUCUCUUUUCUUUUCUCUACCCUUAGUUCAUCUUCUCCCGCAUUGUGAAUUUGCGAGCACACACAUCAGCCACCGUUCUGGCCUAGCGAGAGGACAACCUAAGCCUGCCGAAGUCCCCAUCCGCAACCUCAACGAGGAUGAGGGCUCACCUGAGCGACCACCAUGCCAUCAUCAUCGUCCCUGACCUUGACCUCUGCCCCUAGGAUCGAGCACGGUGAGGUUGGUGGCCCCAACCUCCACAACGUUGUCAUUGUCCCUAGCCUCGAACUCCGUCCUAGGAUCAAAUGCGGAGAUGAUCCUGGCCCUAACCUCCAUACUAUCGUCGCCGUCCUUAGCUUUGACCUCUAGCCCUAGGUCAAGCAUGACGAAGAAUGUAGGCCAUGACCGGCUCCAACAUGAUAGGCUGAGGUAUAGCGCCAUGUCGGCCUGGCCAGUGGCAGGGGCACCGAUGGUGGACAACUGUUGUGCUCGUGAGCCCUCAUCUAGCAUGCUUGACGCCAUGGCCGCGAUGGAGGUAGAGAGAGACAAGAGGGAGGAGGGACAAUGACAGUUGGGGUGGGCCCCAUGGUAUUGGGAGAGAUGUAACUCCCCCUCUAUUUGAGGAGAGAAGAGGAGUUUUGUGGUGGCAACAAAAAAGGAGGGCUAUUGGAGAGAUGUUGGAGCAAGAAAACAAUCCUAUAUCUUUCUCAAUAUGACGGUUUUAUGGGGAUGAGUGGUUUUGUGGAGAACUGCUGGAGAUGCUUUCAGGACACAUGUAUUUAUUAGCGGUGGGUUUUUUGGCUUGCCCAACACCGUGACCUUAAUAAGUUUUGGUGAUCAGUCAUAUCUUUCGAGGAACUGCAAAGUGGACUAGGGAUGGCGGUUUUGCACUGGAUGCCAUGGGAUAAAUCUUUGUCUUAGAGAGUUUUCUAUCUCUUGACUUGAUCAUGACCUUAUGCGUUUAAGCUUCUAAAAUUUUUCUUAUUUGUAGAUUUCCUAGAUUUGCAUAGGCUAGUUCAUAGGGUUGGAUCUAUGUAGCAAAAUUAUUAGUGGGUUGGUUAAUGUAGAGAUCGAACACUAGAAAACUUAAGUUGCACAUCAUGCUAGAGUAGUAUAAGUUUUUUUUCUAGUGUUCUAGUGUAGACCAAGAAUAGCCCUAGGAGUAAGUUUUUAAGUGAUCCAAUCCAUCCAUCCGUUGGACUCACAUGCACCUACACCUUGCCGCAUUUUAUGUUUCCAAAUUAUGUUCUUCCAAUGUUGCUUUUGUGUUACCUUUCUUUUAGAGUAGUUUGUGUUGGCUGCACCUAUGUAUUGAUAGAAAAUACCUCUUAUUUCUUUCUAUUUAUACAUGAAUUGGAUAUAAAAUAUAUAUUUGAUAUCUCGUAUGUCUCAAAUCCUAGAAAAUUAUUCAUGGUUUCUAUAUAUAGUUCAUCUCAAUUUCUAUUUUCGUAUUUUUUUCAAAUCAACGGUCUGUGUAUAACAACGAAUUGAUUGUAGAAUUAUUAUGUUUUGUUCUAUGUAGGACUUGUUAUUAUAUUGAAAUUCACUAAAACCCUGAUGUUUGUUUGGUGCGUCCAUUAUCUAUGACGAUUUCAAAUGGUUUUUGUAUUUAGCUACCGAUUGUGAAUAGUGUCUUUGUGGUAGUGAGAAUAUUUAAUACAUAUAAGAUAGAAUCAGAUUACACAUUUCGUGUCUUAUAUAACAAAAUAAUAUGAAUAGCUGCAUUACUACAAAGAAAUAAGUAUUUGGGAGAAUGAUGAUAGUAAACAAUACCUUCGUAACUGGACAUAAGCCAAUAUAUUGAGUUGUUUCAUCUUCAUAGUGGAUAUGUUCUAGGAUGUGGUUCAAAGCUCUCUCUCUUAGCUUGUUAAGUGGCCAAUAGUUCAACACCGGCUCCACGAACAUGUUCAAACAAGUUGAAAUGAAUUUGAAUAUUCCUGAAGGUUUAUAGCGCAUGUCCUCCUGAUGAAACGUCAAGAGUGAAAUCAGUACAUGUUUAACGUUAUUAAUCCCAAGCAUAAUUUGGCAUUUGUAAGCUUUGUCUCUGCAUGAGUGCUAGCGUGCCGAGUAAGUACCGAACAGAAUGCAUAUAAUUAAACAUGGAAUGCAUCGAUACAUCUUAAUGACCUCAUGUGGAAUUGUCAUGUUAAUAAAGUUAAUACAAAGCUACAGGUUUGGCGAUGUCCAGCACCUCCCGCCCGAGCGUGUUGACUAGUGCCUCACAGGUAGUUCCAC
rnacentral:lncRNA from 1 species